rnacentral:tRNA from 1 species
UCCUGGUGACUCAGACAGUAAAGAAUCUGCCUGCAGAGCAGGAGACCUGGGUUCGACCCCUAGGUCAGGAA